rnacentral:rRNA from 1 species
UACGUAGGUGGCAAGCGUUAUCCGGAUUUAUUGGGUUUAAAGGGUGCGUAGGCGGGAUGCCAAGUCAGCGGUAAAAAUGCGGUGCUCAACGCCGUCGAGCCGUUGAAACUGGCGUUCUUGAGUGGGCGAGAAGUAUGCGGAAUGCGUGGUGUAGCGGUGAAAAGCAUAGAUAUCACGCAGAACUCCGAUUGCGAAGGCAGCAUACCGGCGCCCUACUGACGCUGAGGCACGAAAGCGUGGGUAUCGAACAGG